UACGUAGGGUGCGAGCGUUAAUCGGAAUUACUGGGCGUAAAGCGUGCGCAGGCGGUUUGGUAAGACAGAUGUGAAAUCCCCGGGCUUAACCUGGGAAUUGCAUUUGUGGCUGCCCGGCUAGAGUGUGUCAGAGGGGGGUAGAAUUCCACGUGUAGCAGUGAAAUGCGUAGAUAUGUGGAGGAAUACCGAUGGCGAAGGCAGCCCCCUGGGAUAACACUGACGCUCAUGCACGAAAGCGUGGGGAGCAAACAGG
rnacentral:rRNA from 1 species